rnacentral:rRNA from 1 species
GAGGAAUAUUGGUCAAUGGGCGAGAGCCUGAACCAGCCAAAUCGCGUGAAGGAAGACUGCCUUAUGGGUUGUAAACUUCUUUUAUACAGGAAUAAAAAAGGGGACGUGUCCCUUAUUGCAUGUACUGUAUGAAUAAGCAUCGGCUAACUCCGUGCCAGCAGCCGCGGUAAUACGGAGGAUGCGAGCGUUAUCCGGAUUUUUUGGGUUUAAAGGGUGCGCAGGCGGGCUUUUAAGUCAGCGGUGAAAUCUCGGGGCUUAACUCCGAAACUGCCGUUGAAACGGGGGGUAUGGAGUAUGGAUGAAGUAGGCGGAAUUGCUUGUGUAGCGGUGACAUGAAUAGAUAUCACGAGGAACUCCGAUUGCGCAGGCAGCUUACCAAGCCGUAACUGACGCUCAAGCACGAAGGCGUGGGGAUCAAACA